UUCACACCUACGGUCAAUUUAGAGUCACCAGUUAACCUAACCUGCAUGUCUUUGGACUGUGGGGGAAACCGGAGCACCCGGAGGAAACCCACGUGGACACGGGGAGAACAUGCAAACUCCACACAGAAAGGCCCUUGCCGGCCCCGGGGCUCGAACCCAGGACCUUCUUGCUGUGAGGCGACAGCGCUAACCACUACACCACCGUGCCGCCCGGGCCAUGUCAUAUGUGAGGGAAUCCAACCCACCUUCUUGACUGGGCUUGCUGCCUUAUUUUCCACCUUCUACAUCUUCAAUCUCAAAUACCAAGAAGAGGCCUCAUGCACUCUUGAGUUCAUCCAAAGGCGCUUCAUUGGUAUAAACCCUGAGCGAGGCACCAAGGCUGAACGGGGCAAAGUCUUGUAAAAAAAAACUGGCAAAGCCACCAGCAAAAAGAUGACAACAGUCAACCCACAUGUAUCCACUCUGCUGAGAAGACUCAUGGACUUUCAGUGGGACUUCAUUUAAAAUGGGUAGAAAGUCGGAAUCCCUGUUAUUCUCGCUAAGUUAUUUGUAUCCUGUUUCUGAACAUACACAUACCACUGUUUGAAUGUUUCAUGCUGGCAUGUUUUGACUGUCUGAGGGGUUAGGUCAGGACUUUGGAUAUUUUUUCAGGGCUUGUGAUACUUUUGUUUGGAUUUUUAUGUUCAUUGACCAUAUUACAAUAUAUAGCAGAUUACAAGAGGAUACUAAGGGCACACACAAAGUUUGUAACUUUAUGAUUUAUCUAUUGCUCAACUGUCUGUAACUGUCAGUAUUCCACAAAGAAAGCAAGUUUGCCGGGUGCUAUAAUUUCUGUAAAUUGUCUUUGUCUUAUUUUGAACCUGAAUUGUGAAUCAUAGCUGCAGAAUUUAUUCAGGGUUUUUUUUUAUUUUUUGUUGUUUUUUAAACACACUAUCAUGACAAUGCAAAAUGUGCACACUUAUCUGGCUAACUUUCUAAUCUGCUUUGUGGAACAGUCCCUUAGAGGUUUCAUUAUCUGAACGUUGUUGUGGUCAGUUUCAAGUCAAUAUUUCCAAGUCUGAAUGAAUGCCUCGUUCUUUUAUUGCACU